rnacentral:rRNA from 1 species
GACGUAGGGCGCGAGCGUUGUCCGGAUUUAUUGGGCGUAAAGGGCGCGUAGGCGGCGCGACAAGUCACUUGUGAAAUCUCCGGGCUUAACUCGGAGCGGCCAAGUGAUACUGUCGUGCUAGAGUGCGGAAGGGGCAACUGGAAUUCUCGGUGUAGCGGUGAAAUGCGUAGAUAUCGAGAGGAACACCUGCGGCGAAGGCGGGUUGCUGGGCCGACACUGACGCUGAAGCGCGAAAGCCAGGGGAGCGAACGGG